CCCUUAGAUGUUCUGGGCCGCACGCGCGCUACACUGAUGCAUUCAACGAGUCUAAAACCUUCUCUGAUAGGGGUGGGUAAUCUUUUGAAUGUGCAUCGUGAUUGGGAUAGAUGAUUGCAAUUUUUCAUCUUCAACGAGGAAUGCCUAGUAAACGCAAGUCAUCAGCUUGCAUUGAUUACGUCCCUGCCCUUUGUACACACCGCCCGUCGCUCCUACCGAUUGAAUGAUCCGAUGAAUAUCAUGGAUUGAGGAUGCAAGCAGGUUCGCCUGUCUUCAUCUUCGAGAAGUGAAGUAAAUCUUAUCAUUUAGAGGAAGGAGAAGUCGUAACA
rnacentral:rRNA from 1 species